CGUAUAAAUAUGAGCCGGUCUCAUUCAGGUUCAUUUGUAUAUAUUCUGUCAAGUGAAACCUAAACAAAUCUAGUUGGUUUUCUGAUUAUAUUGCUUAAUUUUCUGUUCACAUUUUCAUGAAUUGACUAACACAUUUGCUAAUUUGCAUAAUAUAUUUGUUUGAUAAUUUGAUUCAUCCAAUUAGGCACCCAGGAGAAGGGCAUGGCCCUAACCCUCAAAUAUGAGUAUUAUAGAAAAUUAACAGUUACCCAGGCAACCAUCCAAUGAGAAUCGUAGGAAAAUUAACAGUUCCACAGACAAUCAUCCAGUGACCACAUUGUCUCUUUUUGGACAUACCAUCUGACGCUUUCACUUGGGGUGUAAAUAACCCAGGACAGCACCGGAAGAAGCCGUCAGACCACAGGCUAAAUUCCUUAUUAAAAUCUAUAGCUUGCCUAUAAACAGAGACAGACUAUUUUUAUAUAAAAUAACUUCAUUAGUUCUAAAAUGUAGAUCUUGAAUUGUGACCAUAAUAAAAUGAGAAAAUAAAGUGUUUAUACUGAA